AAAAAAAUCUAAGGCAGCAAGAAUUUUAGACACUAUCUGCAGAUGUGCCCACUGGCGGGCCGCCACCAACUCCACAGUUUUGUCGCCCGGGCCAGAACGUAACCAGGGGUUACGUAGUUGUUUUUUUUACGCCCUGGCGGGCCGCCACCCUUUUUUUAGAAACCUCUCGCCGCCGCCAGCACGUAUAGCUGUAUUCCGGAAAUUUGCGACUCGGUGGCGGGUCGCCACCCACUUCAGAAUAUAGUCGCCGGCCGCCAGAGCGUAUAUCUGCUGCAGCCGUAAAUCAUUUAAACCCCAAACAAAAAAAAAUUACUUAAUACCUAACCCUUCUUCCCCAUCUCACCCAUAACCCCUCUUAGACCUCCAUGACCACCUAAAAACUCAUCCCAUUUAUCCCCAUCCUUUUCUUCUCAUCGAGACACAUCCACUAUCAUCUAAUAUCCACCAUUACAUACAUAAUCAUCCCUUACCUAAUUUCUUCCUCUAAUCCACCAUAUUUAACCUUAAAAUAGGAGCUAUAUUUGGGGUUCAAGGCUCAACCGAAAUUUUCUUAUUCUCUCUUGUUUUUCACAAAUCCAAGAAUGUCAAGUGCAGGAACUUCAAGUCGGGCCAACAGGAAACGAGGCCGAGACACUUGCUCAGUGGUACACAGGCGGGUGAUGAGGUGUUGGAUGAUGCGGAGUAGAGCGGGAUGCAGCGAGGAUGACAGCUUAUAUCUUUUGUUUAUUUUUUUUAUCUUUAUGCUGUUUUUAAUCCCCGUUUAUUGGUUUGUACUUGAACACGUUAAACAGGUUGGUUGUGAUUUUGGGGAUGGUUGACGCUUGGUUGUUGGAUGUUUGCACUAACACUUAGUAUCUUAUAUAUUAUCUUUUGCUAGUGUUUGGUGUUUGCGUGAUUAGGUUGGUAUUUGUAGCCGCUUUCGUUCGCGUGUCCGAGAUUAGAGUUGUUUGUUGAGCGCGUUUCGAAUUGGAGGGCUUAUGUGGAAACGACUGGCACUUUGACAGUCUCACAUACUCAGCUAAGUCGUUUCCCUUUUUGUUGUUGUUGUAUUUUUUUUAUUUAUUUCGUUUGUAGUUUUGUUUUUUUAGGUAGUUGUCGAGUCGUAUUUUCGUUCUUGCGUUAGGGACAAUGCAAUCUCUAAGUGUGGGGAUGGGAUACAUGUAAAUAUCGAGUCUAAAUUAUUAAAAAUACAAAAAAAAUUUUUAAAAAAAAUUUGAAAAAUCCAAAAAAAAAUUGAAAAACCAGAAAAUGUCUUUUGAAAUAAAAGAAGUUUGCAUUUUUAAACGGAAAAUGAUAGAAAAGAUAAAUUUUUACUCGGGUUGAAAUAAUAAUAAUAUGAGAUUUUAAUAAAUCGAGCUUGCGUCUAGUUAGGGAUAUGUGGAUAGGUCCGGGUUUGGUUUUAAGUCCCUUUGAUCUAAUAUAUCUUAAUUGUCGGUUUACUAGUGGGUUUUCGCCUGGGAGAUAUGGGAAAUUAAAACCGCCAAUAAUAGUAUAAGAGGCACCGUUAUAAAUUAAAAUCGUUAGAGUUUGUGAUCAUGAAAAAAUAUAAUAAAAAGUGGGCUAGAAACUAAAUGAAAGUAAUGCAUUCCUAUGUAAUCUGAGCUGGGGAUAGCGACUCUACAGCAAGAUUACCGCUAGGGUGUGUGAAAUCGACUGUGCAAAAAAGAGAAAAAAGUACCGAAACCUAAGUAAUCUGUGGUUGGGGAUAGCGACUCUACAGCCGGAUUGCCUCUUGGUUAGGGAAAGCAUCGUCUACGCUCACUUAGAGGAUUAAAAAAAAAGCGAAUGAAAAAGAAAAAAAAUGGAAAAAAAAUAUGAUUGUAAACUCUUCUGGUUUUGAUAUAAGACGGUUGGGAAUUGGUCCAGUGAUCGUUCCUUUAGUCCUAUAAGCUUGAGGCGGGAGUAGGUGGACUGUAAAUUCUAGCGUGAGACCCUAGGUAGACUGACCGCAUUUAAAUUAACUCCACAUGAUAAGGGCUUGGGAUCGGAUUCGGGUUUAAGGGGAUAAGUAUAUUCGCAAUCGCAGCUAACGCAAGCCUUGGUUUUAAUUAAAUAUACCUAUGCUUUUGACCCGAGUGAAUAUUUGUCUAUGAUUUCGUUGCAUAAUUCUUUUUCGAGGACGAAAAAAGAGUAAGUGUGGGGAUGUUUGAUGUAUUGCAAAAUACAUAUUUUUAUUCGUGUAAAGUUUGUAUAGUUUUCGUUAUAUUUAGUUUUGUUUUUCCUUAGAAUAUGUAUACUAUUGAUCAAAUCGUGUUUCGCAGGUCUUGAUGCUCAAAUAUGCGAGAAACCGAGUAAAACGAGUUAAAAUGUUGAAGUGUCAAGUCUUGAAGCAUGUUGGAAAGGUUGAGGAGUUGAAAUAGAGUUUAAAAGCUGAAAAAUCACUUUCUGGCACCCCAUCACCCACUGAGCAAGUUUCUAGCACCUGGCGAGAGUCUGAAGUUAGUACAUGAGCUGAAAAAACAAGGUGGCACCCCACCACCCAGUCCCUGAUUUUCUGUCGCCCAGUCACAACGUUCUGAUUGGUAAUUAUUAAGAAAAUUAUAAGGGUUUGUUAUAGAAAGAGAUAUAAAAACAUCCUUAACUUAAGAAGAAACCCUAAUUUCGAAUUGGGACUUCUUUGGGCGAAUUGUUGAGCAUUCUUGGAGCUUUUUCGGAGAUUUUGAAGCCUAGGAAUCAUCGGUACGAGUUCGGGGAAGAAGACUUGAAGAUCUAAUCGGGUUUUCUAGUUCUUUGUUCUUGACUUUUCUUACGAAACUUGUUACAAUGAAUUCUUUGUUGAACAUC